GACGAACGCUGGCGGCGUGCUUAACACAUGCAAGUCGAACGGUAAGGCCCUUCGGGGUACACGAGUGGCGAACGGGUGAGUAACACGUGGGUGAUCUGCCCUGCACUUCGGGAUAAGCCUGGGAAACUGGGUCUAAUACCGGAUAGGACUCCGGACUGCAUGGUCUGGGGUGGAAAGCUUUUGCGGUGUGGGAUGGGCCCGCGGCCUAUCAACUUGUUGGUGGGGUGAUGGCCUACCAAGGCGACGACGGGUAGCCGGCCUGAGAGGGUGACCGGCAACAUGGGGACUGGGAGACGGCCCAGAAUCCUACGGGAGGCAGCAGUGGGGAAUAUUGCACAAUGGCGCAAGCCUGAUGCAGCGACGCCGCGUGAGGGAUGACGGCCUUCGGGUUGUAAACCUCUUUCAGCACCGACGAAGCGCAAGUGACGGUAGGUGCAGAAGAAGGACCGGCCAACUACGUGCCAGCCGCCGCCGUAA
rnacentral:rRNA from 1 species